rnacentral:rRNA from 1 species
AGAAUCAACGCUGGCGGCGUGCCUAACACAUGCAAGUCGAACGAGAAAGUGGAGCAAUCCAUGAGUAAAGUGGCGCACGGGUGAGUAACACGUGACUAACCUACCCUUGAGUGGGGGAUAACCUAGAGAAAUCUGGGCUAAUACCGCAUAAUACCUUCGGGUCAAAGGAGCAAUUCGCUUAAGGAGGGGGUCGCGGCCGAUUAGUUAGUUGGCGGGGUAAUGGCCCACCAAGACUGUGAUCGGUAUCCGGCCUGAGAGGGCGCACGGACACACUGGAACUGAAACACGGUCCAGACUCCUACGGGAGGCAGCAGUGGGAAUUUGCGCAAUGGGGGAAACCCUGACGCAGCAACGCCGCGUGGAGGAUGAAGUCCCUUGGGACGUAAACUCCUUUCGAUCGGGACGAUUAUGACGGUACCGAGAGAAGAAGCCCGGCUAACUUCGCGCCAGCAGCCGC